rnacentral:rRNA from 1 species
UACGAAGGGGGCGAGCGUUGUUCGGAUUUACUGGGCGUAAAGCGUGCGUAGGCGGUUCGUUAAGUCUGUCGUGAAAGCCCUGGGCUCAACCUGGGAAUUGCGAUGGAUACUGGCGAGCUAGAGUACGGUAGAGGAUGGUGGAAUUCCCGGUGUAGCGGUGAAAUGCGUAGAGAUCGGGAGGAACACCCGUGGCGAAGGCGGCCAUCUGGACCAGUACUGACGCUGAGGUACGAAAGCGUGGGGAGCAAACAGG